rnacentral:tRNA from 1 species
UCUAAUAUGGCAGACCAUAAAUAUGCAAUGAACUUAAGAUUCAUCCACAAAGAUUUUUAUCUUUUAUUAGAA